CCUACGGGUGGCAGCAGUGGGGAAUAUUGGACAAUGGGCGAAAGCCUGAUCCAGCCAUGCCGCGUGUGUGAAGAAGGCCUUCGGGUUGUAAAGCACUUUCAGUGGGGAAGAAAGCCUUGGGGCUAAUACCCUCGAGGAAGGACAUCACCCACAGAAGAAGCACCGGCUAACUCCGUGCCAGCAGCCGCGGUAAUACGGAGGGUGCGAGCGUUAAUCGGAAUUACUGGGCGUAAAGCGCGCGUAGGCGGUCUGAUAAGCCGGUUGUGAAAGCCCCGGGCUCAACCUGGGAACGGCAUCCGGAACUGUCAGGCUUGAGUGCAGGGGAGGAAGGUAGAAUCCCCGGUGUAGCGGUGAAAUGCUUAGAGAUCGGGAGGAAUACCAGUGGCGAAGGCGGCUUUCUGGACUGACACUGACGCUGAGGUGCGAAAGCGUGGGUAGCGAACAGGAUUAGAUACCCUAGUAGUC
rnacentral:rRNA from 1 species